AAAAGUUCACGAUGUGAGUCUCCACAUGCUGCUCUCUGUCUGAAUGGGAGCUGCAGUUUAGUCCUGCCUCAUAUCUGCCAUUUUCCCCAACCUGUCUCCAUUCCUGUUUUUAGCAAUAGGAAGACUCACAGAGAUACAGCAGCCUAGACUUCAACCAGCUUGUCAUCUCCAAUCAAUUAUUUGUGGAUACAUUGAGCACUGUGCUGACAGGCUCAGCUUUAAUGUCAUGAUCUAUCGUCCUAUGAAGAGAAACAGGAAUCCACUGCUGAUGCUAAUUUCUCUGAGAAGACUACUGGUCAGUUCUACCUGGCAUGCAGCUUCCUUCUCUUUGACAACAACAAAGACUAUUUUAAUCUUCCUGGCAUCAGCGCUUUGUCGUAAUCUGAAGGACAAGAAGAUGCAGUAAAGCAACAAUAAGUAACUAUGACCUCAUAUGUGGAGCCUAGAAUUAUAAGAAAAGAGUCAGAAAUACACUCCAUAUUGUCAUCUUUCUUUGUACGUGCUCAUAUGUGGGACACAUACAGGUCGAUGGGCAAAUCAGGUGCCAAGCAAAAUAGAUUACAUAAGAUUCUGAAUUAGGUACAGGUUUGUGACUUUGGUGGCUAACUCACUUGAAUCUGACAUGUAGCAGCUCUCAGCCUCAGUCUCCCUCAGAUAUUUGAAGCCUUACUGUAAAAGAUUCAAACACUACAGAGGCUUCAGAAGUGCUAGACUCUUCCUUCACCUCUUACAUUUUUACCCCCACACCGAACGAGGAUUGAACUGUUAAUAAUUUGUUGGGUUUCUGUGAAGACCUUUUCUUCUUCUUCUUUUUUUUAAUUUGACAGGGUCUUGCUUUGUUGCCCAGGCUAGAGUGCGAUAGCAAGAUCUCAGCUCACUGCAACCUCUAUCUCCCAGGCUCAAGGGAUCCUCCCACCUCCCCCUCACAAGUCAAGUAGCUAGGACCACAGGCACAUAUCACCAUGCCUAGCUAAUUUUUUAAUUUUUUAGAGUCGAGGUCUCACUUAUUGCCCAGACUGGUCUCAAACUCCUGGGCUCCAGAGAUCCUCCUGCUUCAGCCUCCCAAAGUGCUGGGAUUACAGGAGUGAGCCACCAGUGUGGUGGUGGCUAGUCCUUUUUUUAUGUCACCACUUGGAUAUAAAUAUAGAGAAAACCUUGAUCUUCUUAUUGUAUUAAUGGAGAAAUACAGCUUUGGUGAUUAUGGUAGAUUACAUGGUUGUUGCCUACUAUUGGGUCCCUUCUUAAAAGGAUAGCACACAUCCUUGUCUAUUGCAAUAUGAUUUGCAGUUCCUCCCAAUAUGUACAUCUGAGAGAGUGGAAAUUUACAUAGGCAAUUUGAACUUCCCAUCUGGAUCUCAGAGAAGUCUGAAAUAAAGUGAUGUAAAAAUUUGGGGGUUGUCAUAUGAAUGAUGGUGCUGUUCUCUAAAUCAGGGAACCAUGGAGAUGGGCCACCAUACCAGUUACUGUGACUAUGUAUAAAUAAAAAGUGCUUUUCCUUCUACGUUAACACUAAACACAUCCCACUUCACUUCUGACACCAGAUGUGUCGGGGGUUCCCCACACACCAAGCAAUUCUCCAUCAGACACCAAUUGGGUGUCCUAUAAUUUAACUCAAUUCUGACACUAUCUCCUUGGAGUUAGAGUCAGAUCCCACAGGUUAAGGGCUCAGUCCCACAAGAUUUCCCCAACUUCAGAUGCCAAUUGCAAGUAGUAGGUUGUCACCUACACUUCCGACAAACUAGAUAUACAUCAACGUUCCCAAAACCCCCUUCUUCAAUUUGCUAGAAUGGCUCACAGAAUUCAGCAAAA
rnacentral:lncRNA from 10 species